rnacentral:rRNA from 1 species
AUUGAACGCUGGCGGCAUGCCUUACACAUGCAAGUCGAACGGCAGCGGGGGAGAAGCUUGCUUUUCCUGCCGGCGAGUGGCGAACGGGUGAGUAAUACAUCGGAACGUGCCCUGUAGUGGGGGAUAACUAGUCGCAAGAUUAGCUAAUACCGCAUACGACCUGAGGGUGAAAGUGGGGGACCGCAAGGCCUCAUGCUAUAGGAGCGGCCGAUGUCUGAUUAGCUAGUUGGUGGGGUAAAGGCCUACCAAGGCGACGAUCAGUAGCUGGUCUGAGAGGACGAUCAGCCACACUGGGACUGAGACACGGCCCAGACUCCUACGGGAGGCAGCAGUGGGGAAUCUUGGACAAUGGGCGAAAGCCUGAUCCAGCAAUGCCGCGUGUGUGAAGAAGGCCUUCGGGUUGUAAAGCACUUUUGUCCGGAAAGAAAUGGCUCUGGUUAAUACCUGGGGUCGAUGACGGUACCGGAAGAAUAAGGACCGGCUAACUACGUGCCAGCAGCCGCAGUAA